AGUCAUGAGGGUAAUCUGGCUGGACUGCUUGUCAUUCUGCUAAUGGCCAGGCUGGACUGGGCUGCCCAGGCUAGCAUCCUCUUUCUCCCCUCACUGCUCCUUGUAUGUCCUUUCCAAAACUGCCUGCUCGGAUGCACACCCCGUUCCUUAGUCAAGAGAAAUACAAGUAGCUGGGCUUUCCACUAGUCCUCCAAAUAAACUGUGUGGUUGUCAGUGGGGGCCAAUACGAACAGGUCCUCUGUCACCCACGUCCUUUCCAGGAAGGGGGAGGGUUGU
rnacentral:snRNA from 1 species